UACACGACCGUACCGCAAACCGACACUGGUGCGCGAGAUGAGUAUUCUAAGGCGCUUGAGAGAACUCAGGAGGAGGAACUCGGCAAAUUGACACCGUAACUUCGGAAGAAGGUGUGCCUUUAGUAGGUGAACCUGUACAAGGGGAGCCCAAUGAGGUUGCAAAAAAUCGGUGGCUGCGACUGUUUAAUAAAAACACAGCACUCUGCAAACACGAAAGUGGACGUAUAGGGUGUGACGCCUGCCCGGUGCUGGAAGAUUAAAUGAUGGGGUGCAAGCUCUUGAUUGAAGUCCCAGUAAACGGCGGCCGUAACAAUAACGGUCCUAAGGUAGCGAAAUUCCUUGUCGGGUAAGUUCCGACCUGCACGAAUGGCGUAACGAUGGCCACACUGUCUCCUCCUGAGACUCAGCGAAGUUGAAAUGUUUGUGAUGAUGCAAUCUCCCCGCGGAAAGACGGAAAGACCCCAUGAACCUUUACUGUAGCUUUGUAUUGGACUUUGAACAGAUCUGUGUAGGAUAGGUGGGAGGCUUUGAGGUGUGGUCGCUAGAUCGCAUGGAGCCAACGUUGAAAUACCACCCUGGUGUGUUUGAGGUUCUAACCUAGGCCCGUAAUCCGGGUCGGGGACAGUGCAUGGUAGGCAGUUUGACUGGGGCGGUCUCCUCCCAAAGCGUAACGGAGGAGUUCGAAGGUACGCUAGGUACGGUCGGACAUCGUGCUAAUAGUGCAAUGGCAUAAGCGUGCUUAACUGCGAGACUGACAAGUCGAGCAGAUGCGAAAGCAGGACAUAGUGAUCCGGUGGUUCUGUAUGGAAGGGCCAUCGCUCAACGGAUAAAAGGUACUCUGGGGAUAACAGGCUGAUACCGCCCAAGAGUUCAUAUCGACGGCGGUGUUUGGCACCUCGAUGUCGGCUCAUCUCAUCCUGGGGCUGUAGCCGGUCCCAAGGGUAUGGCUGUUCGCCAUUUAAAGAGGUACGUGAGCUGGGUUUAAAACGUCGUGAGACAGUUUGGUCCCUAUCUUCCGUGGGCGCUGCAGAUUUGAGGAAGCCUGCUCCUAGUACGAGAGGACCGGAGUGGACACACCUCUGGUGUAUCGGUUGUCACGCCAGUGGCAUUGCCGAGUAGCUAUGUGUGGAAGAGAUAACCGCUGAAAGCAUCUAAGCGGGAAACUCGUUUCAAGAUGAGAUCUGCCGGGGCCUUGAGCCCCCUAAAGAGUCGUUCAAGACCAGGACGUUGAUAGGUCGGGUGUGGAAGCGCAGUAAUGCGUUAAGCUAACCGAUACUAAUUGCUCGUGCGGCUUGACCAA
rnacentral:rRNA from 1 species